rnacentral:tRNA from 2 species
UGGGGCGUAAUGCCUUCUUCCUGA